rnacentral:rRNA from 1 species
AUUGAACGCUGGCGGAAUGCUUUACACAUGCAAGUCGAGCGGCAGCACGGGGGCAACCCUGGUGGCGAGCGGCGAACGGGUGAGUAACACAUCGGAACAUGCCCAGUCGUGGGGGAUAACACUUCGAAAGAAGUGCUAAUACCGCAUACGUCCUGAGGGAGAAAGCGGGGGAUCGCAAGACCUCGCGCGAUUGGAGUGGCCGAUGUCAGAUUAGCUAGUUGGUGGGGUAAAGGCCUACCAAGGCAACGAUCUGUAGCUGGUCUGAGAGGAUGAUCAGCCACACUGGGACUGAGACACGGCCCAGACUCCGACGGGAGGCAGCAGUGGGGAAUUUUGGACAAUGGGGGCAACCCUGAUCCAGCCAUUCCGCGUGAGUGAAGAAGGCCUUCGGGUUGUAAAGCUCUUUCGGCAGGAACGAAACGGUGAGCUCUAACAUAGCUUGCUAAUGACGGUACCUGAAGAAGAAGCACCGGCUACUACGUG